GGAAGUUAAAAGCAGUGAUAACAUUAAAGUUACCCAAUGCUGCUGUUAAGGAACAAAGGCAGCCAUGGAGAAUACAUAAAUGAAUGGGCGUGGCUCCGUUCCAAUGACUAUUUAUAAAAACAGGAGGCGGGCUGCAUUUAUUCUGCAGAUAUAACUUGAUGACCCUGGAUGCAAAGGUUCACUUUAGAAUAUUCAAGAAGAUAUCCAGGCAUUAGCCUGAGCUGGAAACUUGGGUCUCCCACAGAAAGAACUAUCUUCCCGGUUUUCUCUGGAAAUGAGUGGAGGGAAUGAAAAGAGUUAACAGAGAUAUGGCAUGAACAUGUAUUAGAAAAAUGAUUCACACACAAUAGAAAAAAUAAGUAAGACCAGGAUUGGGUGGCUUUGGAGAAUGUAAUUUCAGCUUGAAUAUGAAGAUGCUUGUAGAACAGUGUUCCUUCCUCUGAACAUGGCUACAGAAGAACAAAUCAGUUAGUCUGAAGAUGAAAACAAGAAGCUGAUGGUAGACACAUUCUGAACUGGCUAACACAACACUCUGAAACUGGAGGAUAUCAACUGAUAAGAUAUGAAGUUCUCCCUUAGUUUCAAAUACACUGGGUUCAUAAAUUAUUGACAUAAACAAUAGAUGUCCCAUCAAGCUACCAUGAAGAUAGCUAGGUCUGCACAACUCCUCAAGUGUCGACCCCUCCAAGCACAUCCUCCACCUGGAACUGUGAACUGAAUGGAUAAAUGUGUUGGUCAGAAAGGUCUUUACAUCUUUGAAUUGUAACGAUCAUGACUAGUUGCUGAGUUUGCCACCUCCCUGCCUCCCUGCCCUCUACCUUCCAAGAAUUAUCAUUACAAAAAUAGCCAUUUGGCUUAUGGCAUAAGCUUUAUCACAAAGCUUGACCCAGAUUGAAGAAUCCAGGCAAUUUCUAGCCAGCCUUUUAUUUCCUUCAUGCACAGGAUCAUGGUAGAGGCUUAGCAUUUAUCAAACUACAGCUUUUCCCCAAAGGAAAGGGAAAUGGGAAUAGACUAGCUGCUUCAGUGAGCAAAACAGGUGGAUAACAAAUAAGAGAUUAUUGGCAGUUUAUCAGGGUCUCUUUGCUAAAACUCCUUGUCAAAUGGCUAAGGAAAGACAUUGAGAGAAGGCAUGUGUGGGUGCCUUGAGAGCCUGUGAGAUCUGUGCUCUUGAAGCAUUUUGUACUUUUCUUAAUGAUGCUUAUCUUACUCUACCUUAUAGUAUAAUUAAAAGGCAAGUUUUCUUCUUCUGAGGUGGUAAGUAUAAACUUCAAAUAGCAGACAGAAAGGAGUUAAGGGGUUCUAUGUGCCUAUCCCAGCCAGCCGCAUUUUGUCAUGGUCUGAUUGCAAGGCUGGUUGCAACAGUUGGGAAGCAUUUGGCCAGUGGGACAGUUUGAAAUGGAAACAAG
rnacentral:lncRNA from 1 species